rnacentral:rRNA from 1 species
CUGCGGAAGGAUCAUUAUCGUAUCUCUGGCCCGGUCGUCCCGCCCUGCUCCAGCCGCAAGGCCGUGCAGCGGGUGGUUCGGUCGAGUCAAACCUUCACAAACCCACCGUGCACUUUCACGGCUGAAGGCCCCGGCGAGAGUUGGUGCGUCUGAAGCCGUUCCACAAAACACCUCUAUUAUCAAGUAUGAUCGUGACCUCAUUGGUUGCCUAAAAAACGAAACAACUUUCAACAACGGAUCUCUUGGCUCUCGCAUCGAUGAAGAACGCAGCGAAAUGCGAUAAGUAAUGUGAAUUGCAGAAUUCAGUGAAUCAUCGAAUCUUUGAACGCACCUUGCGCUCCUUGGUAUUCCGAGGAGCAUGCCUGUUUGAGUGUCUUGAAUCCAUCACCCUGCACCGUUUGUCAAAGGACGGUGCUCGGGUGGACCUGGGGUUGUGCGGCUGCAAGGCCGCUCCCCUUAAAUGUGUCGGUCGGGCGUUGUGGGUCUGAACUCGAAAGGGCGUUGUACCAUCCUCGCUCCCUCGGGGACCCCGUUUUGCCAUCGACCCGCGACCCGCCUCUCGGAGGAGGGCCAACACUUUUGCAAUCUGACCUCAGAUCAGGUAGGACUACCCGCUGAACUUAAGCAUAUCAAUAAGCGGAGGAAAAGAAACUAACAAGGAUUCCCCUAGUAACUGCGAGUGAAGCGGGAAAAGCUCAAAUUUGAAAUCUGGCGUCUCCGGCGUCCGAGUUGUAUUCUGGAGAAGCGUUUUCCGUG